UCUGGGAAGAGGUUGUUUGUGUCUCCGAUGCCAUAGAAAACACAGCCUUUUAACUUAUUAAGGAGGGACACGGCACAAUCACCCAGGCUGGAGGUUACCAAGAAACUUCCGGACCCUCUUCCUGUGUCCCUACAAAAGGCCCGGACAAUGCGGUCCCAGCCCUGCUGUGGGACACGGGCGGGGCCCCACCUUCCUCCUUCCUGCAGGGAUAUCCUUUCCUAUAGAAGAGAUGUAUCCGCCGCCACCAGAAGUUGGGGACAUUUCCGCUCACCCCCGAAACGAAUGUGUUCUGCGUUUACAACAAAUGACAUCUUUCAAAGUUGGCAAUAAAUCAAAGUUAAGUGAA